rnacentral:rRNA from 1 species
GACGUAGGGGGCGAGCGUUGUCCGGAUUUAUUGGGCGUAAAGAGCGCGUAGGCGGCCCGGAAAGUCGGUUGUGAAAACCCGGGGCUCAACCCCGGGCCUGCAUCCGAUACUCCCGGGCUAGAGGCAGGUAGGGGAGAGUGGAAUUCCCGGUGUAGCGGUGAAAUGCGUAGAUAUCUGGAGGAAUACCGGUGGCGAAGGCGGCAUCCUGGACCAUUACUGACGCUGAGGCGCGAAAGCUAGGGGAGCAAACGGG